ACUCCUACGGGAGGCAGCAGUGGGAAUAUUGGACAAUGGGCGCAAGCCUGAUCCAGCCAUGCCGCGUGUGUGAAGAAGGCCCUCGGGUUGUAAAGCACUUUCAGUGAGGAAGAAAGCUUGUCGGUUAAUACCCGGCAAGGACGACAUCACUCACAGAAGAAGCACCGGCUAACUCCGUGCCAGCAGCCGCGGUAAUACGGAGGGUGCGAGCGUUAAUCGGAAUUACUGGGCGUAAAGCGUGCGUAGGCGGCUUGGUAAGCCGGUUGUGAAAGCCCGCGCUAACCUGGGAACGGCAUCCGGAACUGUCAGGCUAGAGUGCAGGAGAGGAAGGUAGAAUUCCCGGUGUAGCGGUGAAAUGCGUAGAGAUCGGGAGGAAUACCAGUGGCGAAGGCGGCCUUCUGGACUGACACUGACGCUGAGGUACGAAAGCGUGGGUAGCAAACAGGAUUAGAUACUCUGGUAGGCUCUGCU
rnacentral:rRNA from 1 species